GGUUAAGCGACUAAGCGUACACGGUGGAUGCCCUGGCAGUCAGAGGCGAUGAAGGACGUGCUAAUCUGCGAAAAGCGUCGGUAAGGUGAUAUGAACCGUUAUAACCGGCGAUGUCCGAAUGGGGAAACCCAGUGCAAUUCGUUGCACUAUCGUUAACUGAAUACAUAGGUUAACGAGGCGAACCGGGGGAACUGAAACAUCUAAGUACCCCGAGGAAAAGAAAUCAACCGAGAUUCCCCCAGUAGCGGCGAGCGAACGGGGAGCAGCCCAGAGUCUGAAUCAGCUUGUGUAUUAGUGGAACGGUCUGGAAAGUCCGACGGUACAGGGUGAUAGUCCCGUACACCAAAAUGCACAGGUUGUGAACUCGAAGAGUAGGGCGGGACACGUGGUAUCCUGUCUGAAUAUGGGGGGACCAUCCUCCAAGGCUAAAUACUCCUGACUGACCGAUAGUGAACCAGUACCGUGAGGGAAAGGCGAAAAGAACCCCGGCGAGGGGAGUGAAAAAGAACCUGAAACCGUGUACGUACAAGCAGUGGGAGCACCUUCGGGUGUGACUGCGUACCUUUUGUAUAAUGGGUCAGCGACUUAUAUUCUGUAGCAAGGUUAACCGUAUAGGGGAGCCGCAGGGAAACCGAGUCUUAACUGGGCGUUAAGUUGCAGGGUAUAGACCCGAAACCCGGUGAUCUAGCCAUGGGCAGGUUGAAGGUUGGGUAACACUAACUGGAGGACCGAACCGACUAAUGUUGAAAAAUUAGCGGAUGACUUGUGGCUGGGGGUGAAAGGCCAAUCAAACCGGGAGAUAGCUGGUUCUCCCCGAAAGCUAUUUAGGUAGCGCCUCGUGAACUCAUCUUCGGGGGUAGAGCACUGUUUCGGCUAGGGGGUCAUCCCGACUUACCAACCCGAUGCAAACUACGAAUACCGAAGAAUGUUAUCACGGGAGACACACGGCGGGUGCUAACGUCCGUCGUGAAGAGGGAAACAACCCAGACCGCCAGCUAAGGUCCCAAAGUCAUGGUUAAGUGGGAAACGAUGUGGGAAGGCACAGACAGCCAGGAUGUUGGCUUAGAAGCAGCCAUCAUUUAAAGAAAGCGUAAUAGCUCACUGGUCGAGUCGGCCUGCGCGGAAGAUGUAACGGGGCUAAACCAUGCACCGAAGCUGCGGCAGCGACACUAUGUGUUGUUGGGUAGGGGAGCGUUCUGUAAGCCUGCGAAGGUGUGCUGUGAGGCAUGCUGGAGGUAUCAGAAGUGCGAAUGCUGACAUAAGUAACGAUAAAGCGGGUGAAAAGCCCGCUCGCCGGAAGACCAAGGGUUCCUGUCCAACGUUAAUCGGGGCAGGGUGAGUCGACCCCUAAGGCGAGGCCGAAAGGCGUAGUCGAUGGGAAACAGGUUAAUAUUCCUGUACUUGGUGUUACUGCGAAGGGGGGACGGAGAAGGCUAUGUUAGCCGGGCGACGGUUGUCCCGGUUUAAGCAUGUAGGCUGGUUAUCCAGGCAAAUCCGGAUAAUCAAGGCUGAGGUGUGAUGACGAGGCACUACGGUGCUGAAGUAACAAAUGCCCUGCUUCCAGGAAAAGCCUCUAAGCAUCAGGUAACAUCAAAUCGUACCCCAAACCGACACAGGUGGUCAGGUAGAGAAUACCAAGGCGCUUGAGAGAACUCGGGUGAAGGAACUAGGCAAAAUGGUGCCGUAACUUCGGGAGAAGGCACGCUGGUGUGUAGGUGAAGUCCCUGCGGAUGGAGCUGAGACCAGUCGAAGAUACCAGCUGGCUGCAACUGUUUAUUAAAAACACAGCACUGUGCAAACACGAAAGUGGACGUAUACGGUGUGACGCCUGCCCGGUGCCGGAAGGUUAAUUGAUGGGGUUAUCCGUAAGGAGAAGCUCUUGAUCGAAGCCCCGGUAAACGGCGGCCGUAACUAUAACGGUCCUAAGGUAGCGAAAUUCCUUGUCGGGUAAGUUCCGACCUGCACGAAUGGCGUAAUGAUGGCCAGGCUGUCUCCACCCGAGACUCAGUGAAAUUGAACUCGCUGUGAAGAUGCAGUGUACCCGCGGCAAGACGGAAAGACCCCGUGAACCUUUACUAUAGCUUGACACUGAACAUUGAGCCUUGAUGUGUAGGAUAGGUGGGAGGCUUUGAAGCGUGGACGCCAGUCUGCGUGGAGCCAACCUUGAAAUACCACCCUUUAAUGUUUGAUGUUCUAACGUUGGCCCCUGACCGGGGUUGCGGACAGUGUCUGGUGGGUAGUUUGACUGGGGCGGUCUCCUCCCAAAGCGUAACGGAGGAGCACGAAGGUUAGCUAAUCCUGGUCGGACAUCAGGAGGUUAGUGCAAUGGCAUAAGCUAGCUUGACUGCGAGCGUGACGGCGCGAGCAGGUGCGAAAGCAGGUCAUAGUGAUCCGGUGGUUCUGAAUGGAAGGGCCAUCGCUCAACGGAUAAAAGGUACUCCGGGGAUAACAGGCUGAUACCGCCCAAGAGUUCAUAUCGACGGCGGUGUUUGGCACCUCGAUGUCGGCUCAUCACAUCCUGGGGCUGAAGUAGGUCCCAAGGGUAUGGCUGUUCGCCAUUUAAAGUGGUACGCGAGCUGGGUUUAGAACGUCGUGAGACAGUUCGGUCCCUAUCUGCCGUGGGCGCUGGAGAAUUGAGGGGGGCUGCUCCUAGUACGAGAGGACCGGAGUGGACGCAUCACUGGUGUUCGGGUUGUCAUGCCAAUGGCACUGCCCGGUAGCUAAAUGCGGAAGAGAUAAGUGCUGAAAGCAUCUAAGCACGAAACUUGCCCCGAGAUGAGUUCUCCCUGAGACUUUAAGUCUCCUGAAGGAACGUUAAAGACGAUGACGUUGAUAGGCCGGGUGUGUAAGCGCAGCGAUGCGUUGAGCUAACCGGUACUAAUGAACCGUGAGGCUUAACCUU
rnacentral:rRNA from 1 species